AUUGAACGCUGGCGGCAGGCUUAACACAUGCAAGUCGAACGAGCGGCGGACGGGUGAGUAAUGUCUGGGAAACUGCCCGAUGGAGGGGGAUAACUACUGGAAACGGUAGCUAAUACCACAUACCAUCAGAUGUGCCCAGAUGGGAUUAGCUAGUAGGUGGGGUAAUGGCUCACCUAGGCGACGAUCCCUAGCUGGUCUGCGAGGAUGACCAGCCAAACUGGGACUGAGAUACGGCCCAGCCUCCUACGGGAGGCAGCAGUGGGGAAUAUUGCACAAUGGGCGCAAGCCUGAUGCAGCCAUGCCGCGUGAGUGAAGAAGGCCUUCGGGUUGUAAAGUACUUUCGGUAGCGAGGCGUUACUCGCAGAAGAAGCACCGGCUAACUCCGUGCCAGCAGCCGCGGUAAUAC
rnacentral:rRNA from 1 species